rnacentral:sRNA from 1 species
GGGAUUGCAGCGGCAUCCUUUUUUUGCUUUCGCAAAUGGCAAAAAAAAGAUAUAGCGAAAAGCCCGACC